GAAGCCGUGGGCUAGCAUGGUAUGCUGCCUGGCUCGACCCCAGGUGGUCGUGGGUUCAAAUCCCACCGGCCCCACCA
rnacentral:tRNA from 1 species